rnacentral:lncRNA from 1 species
AAAGUGAUGAUGGGUUUUAGGCAUAAGAACAAUCCUAUGUGCUCAUACAAACCCUAAUGCUUGGAUCUAGGUUUCUCUAUUGUACAUGCUUUGAAUCCAAGACUAAUAAACAUAGAUCUAACAUAUUAUAAACUGAAUUAGGGUUUAGAGAAUUACCUUUGAUUGUUAUAUAGAAAUAACAAUCAAUUCCUUGCUUGGAUUGGCUUCAAAAGCUUAGUGCCUCAAGUGCUGCACCUCUAAUGGAGUCACAAACACCUUAUGCAACUUGGAUGAAGAGGAGAAGAAGAGAGGCUGCCCAAAAACGACUAGAAACCCUAGAGAAUUAGUUGUCCACGUUUUUGGGGCCUAAGGGGUCCUUUAUAUACUUGUGUGGGCUGCUAGGGUUUCAGUCAAAACCCUAAUGGACAGCUUAAACUCUAAGCAGCCCAUGGAACCUUCUGGAUAAGGCCAUGGACGAAAAUAUGAUGGGCUUCCAUCAUAAUUUCGUUCACCCCUUAUUCCUUUAGCAUUCCUUAGCCCAAUAACUCAAUUAUCCAAUAAUUGCAGUCCAGUCCCCUAAAUUUAAUUAAUCUCUUUUAGCCACAAAAUUAAUUAUCAAUUAAUUCUUGACUAAUACUAAUUAAACAAUAUGAUUUCUCCUUUAAUAUAUUAUUCUCAUAAUAUAUUAAUAAAUCAUAUUUAAACCUUUCUCUCCUUAAAUCAUCCUACAUAUUGCUAUGGUGAAGGCAACCCAAAAGGACCAUGCUCAUAAUCGGGUCAAGUACAUACCAAAAUAGUUAUGGACUUAGACACUAAUCCAACAGUCUCCCACUUGGAUAAGUCUAAUAACUAUUUUCCGUAUGACUUCAAAACCUGAUCAGCAAUCGUAGCUUUCAAAAGCCGCUGUCAACUCUGAUCUUAUCAGAUAGCGUGUCCUCUAGAUAAGGGAUUAUAUAUUCCUCCAUUCUCAAGAUAUCGUAUAGACAAAAGACAUGAAUUUCAAUCAUUCUCUCUAUACUUUUUCCCGACUUCCGAUUCAUGACGACUGAUAACAGACUACAAUUGAACACAUCAACUUAGUCCCGGCUUGGCCAAGCGCUUAGAUGUCAUCACUAAAUCAUCGAGAGGCCCACAUAUAUCGCUUUUAUCCCACUUUGGGUAAAAGGAAUGGAUAAACUUCGACUCAAAUGCUCGCUUGCAUUUACUGAUCGAAUCACACACAACAAUAAGUUUUAUAACACCAAGUUACUGGUGCGUUUACUUAUUAUCAAUGUGUAACUGACCAACAAAUAACAACUCACACGUCUCGGUUUCAAGAAUAUACAAUAUUAUCGUCUCACUAAUCACUCGUGAUAAAACCGUGAAGUGAUCCAAGUGAGCGUGGGUUUAAUCCAAUACUUUAAUCUUAUCAAAGCACUCACGAACUCUGCAGCAAACUUGUGCCAUGUCUAAACACUUCAGACAAUCUACAGACAGAUUCAUGACAGUCUUUAUUCAUACCUACUCCCAACGUAUGACCAACUGUGGAUGUUUGAAUAACCUAGUUAUUCUGGAAGUCAAAACAUGCAAAUUGAAACAUGACAACAAUACUUAAUCCUAUAUGGCCCCAAACUUGUGAGAGUAAAUAAAACCCUUCUAUUUAUCCACCAUAUUGAUUACUCAUUAUUUAUCAUUUAAUGUUUCGGAUAAUCAACUCAUUACUUGAAUUAUACCAACAAUUGUCCCAUGCUCUAAACAUGCACACUUUGUUUCCUAUGGUCCAUGCUUUGUGAAAUAGAUCACCUGAAAACUUUUCCAAUGAUGCUCAUUUCACAAUUCCUUAAUCCUAAUUAUUAGUGUAGGAACACAAGGUUCUUGCCACUACUAGAAUAUGCUAGAUUCUAACAUUUUACGCAACGAUCCUUUCGUAAAGUCAUAGCACAAAAAUCACCAAGACUUGGCUAAUGAAAUUACAAAGUGCUUUCUUAGAAAUUGUUACAAGACAAUUCCAUAGAUGUGAAGUCUCACAUUCAAAGUACAUUCCUUUGAACAUCCUUCUUGCAUAAAAGUUUCUAAUCUAGGCAUAGACUCUCAAUAUCCAACUCCCAAUAUGGAAACAUUUCCACAUUUGCCAUAUGACAACUCAUUCUUAAUAGAAUCUUAUCUAUUCGUAAUAAUGUCGAUAUGGUCCAUCCAAUACCAUACUUUCAACUACUUACAAGCGAUCAAUCCUCAGCGAACUUUGGAUCAUCCUUUGAUAGUUGUUAAAUUCUUUCAGUCAAAACCAAUUCUAUUCCUUUUUCCCUCUUAAUGCGCUAGACAUUUGGAAAAUUUUAGAAUGGUAAAAUAUUAUAGCAUUUGCAAUCGAUCCUAUACCCGAAGCGUAUGGGACACGAUGCAUAAUGUCUUACAUAAAGAUAUGAUACUUUACCAAUCUUUUGCCAUAAUAUUUUAUGUGUCAUGUUCUCACAAUUCGAACUAUGAAGAGGGAUGCCGUAAUCAUAAUCGAAUUUUAAGAACACACAAUGUAUCCUUUGACUGAAAAUAUUAAAAUUUCUUAAUCUAAGCUUUAGAUUUUGAAACGAAGUAUAAUAUUCUCUCCCUUAAUUAUAGCAAAACAACUUUUCAACCCAUGCAACUUUGCAAAUUGAAUCUUUGUUUUUCUAUAAUUAAUAUUGCUAACUUGCAAUACUCGCCAUAAUAAUCAUACAAGCAUAACACUUAUGCUCCCACUAUCAUGAUGAUUAUUAUCAUAUAAGCAUAACACUUAUGCUCCCACUAGCUUUGACAUGUAUUCAGAAAACAAAUGAACUUUCAGAAAACAAUGCCUAUUGAAUUUCUGAAAUUCAUAUUUCUAAUACCAGAUGCUUCGAUAAGCCUUUAUCUAAGCUUCUUAACCUUAUACACCUUUGCCUUAGAUAGCUCAUAUGUGUGUUUAAACAAUUCAUAACUUAUGUUACUAAGUUCCAAAUGUUGAAACUAAUUGCCAAAUCUCACAAUUCGAACUAUGGAAAGGGAUGCCGUAACCAUAAUCGAAUUUGAGAAUACAAUUUUCACAAUUGCUAUCUUCUUAAAAUCUCUCUUAGUGAAAGCAUUUCCUCACAGUCAUUUUCAUGAAGGAGGGAAUCUUAUGACACUUAGAUUUUAUGGUGUAUGAGUUCCUAUCCAUGUGAAUUUGCCAAAACCAAGGUUUGCGACAAAUCCAAACUCAUAUGGACUGAACUUUCUUAAUCUUGAUUUCUUGCCUUAUGGUAACACGAGUGCCCACCAUGUCUUCCAAGUAGUUUAGUAAUUUGUCCUUACAUAUCAAUGUACUUUCCAUCGACUAAGGCUCUAGUAUGCAUUCAAAUGAGAACUCAUAGAACUCACAUACACAAUUAACUCAAUUGGAAUGGCAUAGAAACAAAAUAAUGUCAGCACGAUAGGUUGUAAACCUCAAGUCGUGUGCUAGUGAUGAUCGAUAAGGUUUAUUCUUGAUUUGUUCUUGAAACCUUUCAAGACCAUUAAGACUCCCACUGACUCCUUGAUAUAUAAGAUUCUCUUGUCAAGAAACAUUUCUUGACAAAGCAAAUAUUCAAGAGUUAGUGUAGUUCUUAUCAAGACAAAACACUUCACAUAAUUGGUCCUAGUUGGUCUUUGUCUUAUCCAAGACAGCACAACUUACCAAUUUCAAAUGUGCAAGAAUAAGAAAACUUUUCCAAGUUCCACAUUUGAUGAGUGUUAUAAACCUACUUAAGACUUUUCACUCAAUGUCACAAUCUUGACUCUAAGACUUGAUAUUGGAACGAAGUAUGAUUGACUUCUUGAUUUAACCAUUUCUACAAUUCUCGAUUCCUCUUCUUAGACAUGCAAUUGCACUAAGACUCACUUAGAGGAUCUAUUGAGACAUGGUUCUUAAUCUUUAAGACUUAUCAUAAAACACAAUAAAAGGUACUCUCCUUUCUUCUUAGAAAAGAGAAACUUUUAUCUUUCUGCCUACUUGAUUCUUCUUUAUUCGUUCUACUAUUCAUUGAAACUCUUUCAAUCAACUCAGAAUUACACUUAAUCUUAUAAGUAUAAUCAUAUUUACUAAACUUUAGUAAAUCAUGACGAAUAUCUUUGUCACUCUUGUGGUGGACUUGAUCAACGCACAACCUUGUGUACUUGAUCUCCUUGUCCUUCAAUUGACACUUUGCCAAAGAAUUAGUCUAAGUUUCCCAAAUGUGAAAGUUUUUCAUUCAUCAUACAAUACACAUUGCAUGAUUCCAAGUUUCUGUCCAAUUGAAACUUGGGCGAUGAGAAACUCUCCCUAUUUGGUAAACUUUUGAUAUUUCCACAAAUAACAUAAUUAAGAAUCAAAUCCAUUUUGCUAACAAUAGAAGUACACAAACAUCAAUUUUUCAUAUAUUUCAUUCCAAGGAUAAACAAAUAAGAUAAAAACCAAAAUUUAUUUUAUUCAUAAAAACAGCGGAAAACAUAUCCUUACAAUGCAAAAUUCAAAUGAAAAACUAUGCAAUCAUAUACUCCUAACAAUUCUAUCAUAACUUCCUAAGCUCAUAAUCUGAUCUUCAAAUUCAUGUGAUCGAAAUCCAUUUCUUCGUGAUCAGACUCAUCUUGCUCUUCCAUCAAACUUCCUCUAUUUUCUCUAAUCCUGCAAAACAUGCCAAUGUAAUCUUAUCACAUUAUGAAUAAAGAAUAGGAAUUUAAAUGGAGUUAGAUAGUGGAUUUUAUACCUGAAGUAGAGCCAUACUUAUCGACUCUCCUAUCUCUUAGAUUCUUCAGGUCCUUCGGGCAGCUUCGUAUCCAUUGCCCCUUCCCUUGGCAGCAGGAACAGGUGGUGUCCAUGGAAGCAUGGUUGGUUGAGUUAUCAGACAAAUAUGCUCCAUUACUUCGCCAAAUCAUUUCUGAUUCAGCAGCAAUAAUCAUGUAAGUCAAGUCAAUGAGGGUUGCAUCAAGUUUCAUCAUAUGAUACUCUCUUAUGAACUUAUCAUAUGAUUCAGGGAGUGACUGAAGAACCCAGUCCAUAGCCAACUUAUUUGAGAUACACGCACCCAACAUAAUCAACCUAUCAAUGUGUGAUUUCGUCCCUAGGAUGUGAGCACACACGGGUUUGCCAUCUUGAUGUUCCAUUUCCAAUAGGGAUUCGGUGAUCUUGAACCUUUCAAAUCUUCGAUCAUUAGGGUUAGGGAGAACAACGGGAGGAAGAGGAGGAAGUGAAAUCAAGCUAGUCCACAGUGAUCCUUCACUUUGAAUCAAGCUUUCACUUUCAUUAGGAACACUUUUUCCUUGGGAUUCGGGAAUACCACGGUUAGAGUCAGACAUCUACAAAACGGGAGAAAAUUCAAGUUAAGUUGAUUGAGUCCUUAAUAAAACACCCAAAUGAGUUAUUAAGGCUAGGAUCCAACACAAUAUUCUACAACCUAGAAAAGGGAUGCCGUAAUCUAGUUGCAAAAUAUUUGAAGGUAGGUAAAUGACGAUUUACCAAUUUCCACCAUGAAAAACGAAAAGGAAGAUUAAGUUUUAAAUGAAUUGAAACUCCUAGAUCUUUUGAGAUUCAUUGAACUUUUCAAUGGCAUGUUUAAUCUCGAUUAUGCCCUACUAUUUGUGACUGGGAUGCCGAGGAUCACAAAUAAGGUGUGAAUAACCAUACGAAUCACGUGGUGCACCCAAUGCUACUAUCACCUAAUCAAUGUGCCGGUUAGCCACACACGCUCCAUUGAUCUAUGACAAACAUCGAGUCACCCUUCGCUACCAAUGUCAUCCCCAAAUUAGUGUGCCGGUUAACCACACACGCUCCACUAACGUUUGACAAGGGUACGAAGUGUAAUUCCAUGGGUUAGCAUACAAUUUCACAUUUUUCCUAAAGUAACUAUGAUUUGGGAAUUUGAAAAAGCAUUUAGUUACUUUGUACUUCAUUAUACUUAUAAUGGAAGGUUUCUGUCCUAUCCUACCCGUUCGGCUAACGACCCUCCACUAGUCAAGAGUGCGGUGGGUAAGAGUGGAUACCCAUUCAAUCGCCAUUUUAUAGGCAAUUUCCUUAAACACCCCUUAUAGACCAGCUUCGUGAAUGAGGCCUACUAACGGUAAGACUGACUGUUUACUCAUACAUAUAUAAUAUUAGACUUUUAAUGUCAUAUAUAGUAUAGGGUGUAUUUUACACUUUUAAAAUACUAGGUGGUUUAAUUUAGUAAAUUUAUACUUUUAAUUUAAUUAAAUGUAAACCAAAACUUUAUGGGUUUAUUAAAUCACUUUUAAUUAUACACUUUAAUUAAUUAAUAAAACCAUAAGGGUGUGAUUUGAACUUUUCAAAUUACUAGGGUUUUAGAAUUUAACAUUUCAAAAUUAAACUUUUAAUCAACUUUUAAAUUCCAAAACUUGAGGGCAAGUUUUGAAACAUUUCAAAACAUUAGGGAUCAAAUAACAAAUAAUUCAAAUUAAACAAUUAAUUUCAUAAUUAUCUAUAUUUGACCUAAUCUUAUUUUAGUCACUAGAUAAUUACCAAAUAAUUUGAAAUAAUCCAUAUUUAUCAUAUAAACAACCAAUAUUUAAAAGAUUUGAAAUUAUCUAUUGUUUUGGCAAGGAUAAUCAUUAAUUUAAGAUAAAAAUCGGAUUUUUACUUCAAAAAAUGAAUUAUGCAUCAAAUCCAAGUCAAAGCAGUAGCUAAAUCCCGAAAUACCCUCUGCCUGACGCACUGGCUCGCCGAGUCAGACCUGGACUCGCCGAGUAGGGCCAACUCGCCGAGUUGUGUCGGGCAGAGGCAAAAAACUCGAUUUUAAGCAAACAAAACAGUUAAGCAUCACAUAAAACUGAAACCAAUCAAGGCUCUGAUACCACUGAUGGGUUUUAGGCAUAAGAACAAUCCUAUGUGCUCAUACAAACCCUAAUGCUUGGAUCUAGGUUUCUCUAUUGUACAUGCUUUGAAUCCAAGACUAAUAAACAUAGAUCUAACAUAUUAUAAACUGAAUUAGGGUUUAGAGAAUUACCUUUGAUUGUUAUAUAGCAAUAACAAUCAAUUCCUUGCUUGGAUUGGCUUCAAAAGCUUAGUGCCUCAAGUGCUGCACCUCUAAUGGAGUCACAAACACCUUAUGCAACUUGGAUGAAGAGGAGAAGAAGAAAGGCUGCCCAAAAACGACUAGAAACCCUAGAGAAUUAGUUGUCCACGUUUUUGGGGCCUAAGGGGUCCUUUAUAUACUUGUGUGGGCUGCUAGGGUUUCAGUCGAAACCCUAAUGGACAGCUUAAACUCUAAGCAGCCCAUGGAACCUUCUGGAUAAGGCCAUGGACGAAAAUAUGAUGGGCUUC